CAUUUGACUUACCCUGUGGAUGAUUCCAGCCUUGUGAAUGUACUGCAGAAAGGGAGAGACAGAGCAGGUCACAUCCAAAAUGUCAGCUUUUCCCGGCUCACCCUGAGUCCACAGAGCAUCUGGUAGACGAGAAACUGGACUUUGUCUUCUGUGAGAUGACCUCGCACCUUCGACAGGUCAGUAAACAUGUAAGGCAUCACCAGG